rnacentral:lncRNA from 1 species
CUAGAUUCUUCCUUCAUUUCUUCUAGAACGUCUUUGACUUCCUGCUAAUGUGUCCCUUGCUGAAUGUGUUGCUGAGUAAUACCAUUCUCCAACUCAGCAUCCUUGUUGUCUACAUUUUAACUGUACAUUCUCCGAAAAAUUACUAUUCAAAACCAUUCUUCCCACAAAAUGGUUGUCAAACAGGGGUUUAUGUUUUGGAUAAUUCUACAUGUACACUGUGAUAUUCAUAAAGGUAUCCAAAUGUAUAUGUGGAAUUCCAUGAUUGGAGUAUUGAAAAAACUAUUUUUCAAUUCUCCAAUGAUGUUAUUACACUUGUACAUUAUAAACACCCUUAUAGACACAAUAAUGUACAUAUAGCAUGUUUUAGAUACUAUUGUUGUAUGAAAUUAUGUACUGUAUGAUGUGAAAAUGCAAUGUGCAUAACAGUGCCGGAGGAUUGGGUUGGUUGGUUGGUUGUGUUUAAUCACGUAAGUGUAGUUUUUUGGGCGUUGUUAUGAGUAAUAAGGGGCUAAUUAGCCCUAGGUGUUGGACCUGAGGAGCUACCAGUCCAACAAAGGCCGUUAACCUCGCAGCUACCUAUCUUUUAACCAGGAUGGGCUAGCUCACAUCCUAAUACCAGCUACGCUAUUUUUAUUAGGUCAUUGCGAUGAUCUACUAGCUAUUGCAGGAAUGACUUGUGAUGUCAACAACCCAUUCAUACAACAAGAAGGGAGAUCUUGAGACCAACUAGGCACAUUUUUCACCCAAAUGGAAUCGCGUGUAGUAUUAGAUGCAAAAAUCUGCCACACCUUCUUGAUAGUACUCACGAGGUGACGAGAAUGUCAGAGAGGCGAAAUGGAGUACAAGAUCAAUAAUUGUUGAGAUGAGGUGACGUAGAUACCGUGAUGUAAUUUAUGGCUGUUGAGGCUUGCAAGUCACAAUAGGAAUUCUCGGUGGAAAUCAAACAAGAAAAGGAUCAAUCCUUAAUGACCAAUCAUCAAGGAUUACAGAGUAUAAGAUGGUGCAACAUUGAUGACACUUACUUUUUGGCUAAGAGAGAAACCCAGUGUCUGUUUAUGAAGACAGGUUUAGAAACCUGACUAGAAAAGAGAUAUAGGUCAUGCGUGAGAUAUUAAAUCUCAAGCUUAGCAUUGUGAUAAGCAACUGAUAUUAGACCUAUGGGCUCUUAGGAGCAACGGACGAAAGCCAAUCCUAGCACAAAGUACCCAGCUCAACAGUUACAUGCAUGAGGGCUAGUCCUUGUUAUUAGUAGUUCUGGCGAACAUGCCAGCAAAGGGUGAUCUAAUUAUGGAGAAAUCUUUGUGGCUGUUUGCCUUUUUCUAACAAUCUUUAAUUACUUGACGUAGUAUGCAAUAGAACAAUUAUGGGGAAAGGAAGAGAAGAGGAGAAAGAAAGGGGUGCAAAGUAAGAGAAGAAUUGAGGGUAAUGAGAAAAUAUCAAUUCAUCAUAUAAACAAGGGUUGUUUUUAUUACUAUGCAAAUGACCCCUUUAUAUUGGGUUUUAAAAUUCAUAUUCUAAGUAGAACAUAUCUAAUAAAAGCUAUUAAAUGAAACUAUAAUUAUGUUUACUAAAAUAAGCAUCAAAAUUGGAAACGAAAUCAAUUAAUAUCGCUUAUAAUAUUCCGUUACUUGUCCCCGACUAAAGAACUCGACUUCAACGAGAUAAAUUGCAACUUCUUAAUCAAGAAGAGCGAUCUUUCUCCUGACCAAAUAACAAAACUAACCAUGUGAAGACAACUGAAUCCAAAAUUUCAUUCUAAGAAUUUGAUCUGGUCGAGGGACAUGAUCUUUCCUUUUGACCACUCACCAAUAAUGAACCUCAAUGAAAGUGUGCAAUUGAUUCCUAAAAACUAUCACAGAAUCCAUACGAGGAGCACAAAAGCACCAGAAAAACACACCCUCCUGCAAAAGCAAAUGAGUGCAACAUCGAUGGCUCAAAGGUGCCCGAUAAGAAAACAGUUCUACUGUAUUGAAAACAUAACCUUCAUACAAGUGUAAUGGCCAACCAAUUAGAUUAAGUUCAAGUGGUUGAUCUAAUAAAAAUUCUUUACACGUUUAGGAAAUCGUGCCAAAGAAACACAUAACAAAGUAUAAGAAUAUUGUGAAAGUAUCUAUGAAAGUCGAGAUAUUUUUCAAGAGUAUCAAGGCAAUCAUGAAAGACUCAAAAUCAGUAAGACCUUCAAAAUUCCAUGGUUGUAAUGUAACCUGCCUAGAAAGAUAAUGAACAUCAGCAACAAAAAUCCGAGAUGGGAGAGUAAUUGUACUGACAAUGGGGAGAAUAAGGCAUACUAUCGUGAUAAUGAACUAGGGGCUCGGUGUAGCUAUAAUUGUAAUAAGAAUUCAUGGCGUUAUAAGACAUGUCGAUUUUAUUUUUAUUUUUAUUAAAAUUGACAAAUCAAACACCAAAAUAAAGUAUGGUUCCAACAUAAAAGAAAUUGCUACCUUGGGAGAUUUAGAAGAGUCGAACGGUGACCCACUCAUCAUAUUCAAACUGAUUCAAUUGAACUCUCCUGAGUGGUUGGGACAAAAUAGAUCACGUUUUAUGCAGUCAAUUUGGCAUCUUUAUAUAUAUAUAUAUAUAUAUAUAUUGAAAGAAAUCCCAGUAAAAAAUUCAGGAAACUCUCAUAUUGAACGCGAACUGAAACAAAAGGUUUUCUUGAAGCUUCAGAAAAGGUUUUGCUUCUUUUUUGAAGUAUUCAUAUCCUUGAAGAACUAGACUGGGCAAAAUUUGUCUUCAAGUCCAUGAUACAAGAACCAUGUUUGAAACCAACUCAGAAAAUGAGGGUUACAAUUUUUAUUGAGUUGAGUAUUCAUGAGUUUGUAAUAAAUCCUGUAAAUAACAGCAAAGGCAUUUGAUCGACUAUCAAACUCAAGAUUUCUAGUUUGAAUAUGAAGAUUUAGAGCAUUUAAAACUGCUCCAUCUGAAAGUUUUAUUGAAAAUUUUGGAUAACAAUUUGAAAAAACUGGACCACUUUCAAGGUUUGAUUCAAGAAGUGAAGUAGAGAGUUUUUGAAAUUGAGAUGUCUCUUGUCUCUAAGAGUGAUAAGAAUAGGAAUGUCUAAACCAAGUCUAAACAAUGGUUUGACAGCAAUUUGAACUAAACCAACAUGAAGAUAUUUAAAUCUCUUUCUAUGAGAUUCAAUUGAUGCAUUUUAUGUAAACAAUUCUGCUGAAAUUGAAUGAGGUGUUCCACACCUUGUUAUCAAUUACAAACUACUCAAUUCUGCUCUUCAAUGGAUUCGUUAUCCAAUUCCUUAGAAGAAAGAUCUUCUGAAUCGACUUUCAAAAGCUAUUAUCUUCUCAAAAUUUGACAUGAAGUCAGGAUUUUGGCAAGUUCAAAUAAAAGAAGAAGAUAGAUACAAAACUGCAUUUAAUGUUCCCUUUGGACAAUACGAAUGGAACGUUAUGCCUUUUGGUCUCAAAAAUGCCCCUUCUGAAUUUCAA